AUUGUCCAGAGCGUGACAUAUGGAGCUUGUAAGACAGACACUUAGAAUCUUGCAUCGUUGCGCUGGCGAGGACACGUAUCUCACUGCACGGCACUUUUGCUCCGACGUAGCCAUGACAAAACUCCAAAGGACACUAGUGAUUGCUGUUGUGGGGACAUUAUUUGUAAUAGAAAGCUCUGAGCAAGCGAUGGUAUUUGACAACAGAGUUUGGAAGGAUGGGAAGUGCUACUUCAGGGGAGGAGUAUAUGAAGUUGGUGAGAGGAUGUACGAGAAAAAAGAAUGCAUAGAAUGGUCUUGUCGGCGAAUCAACAGCACUUAUGGCUGGAUGGUGGGUGCCGGGUGCGGAAAGGUAGACGCAGCACCACCGUGCAAAGUGAUACCUACGAGGGAAGGUAUCAACCCGGAAUGCUGUGAGAAAAUGUGGUGCCCAAACAGAGUAAAACGCGUGUAGACAUUUGGCACUCGAAUAAAGAAAAGU